rnacentral:lncRNA from 1 species
AGUAACUGGCAGAGUGCCUAGCUACUGCAUGUGUUCAGUACAUACAUGUUAGUUUUCCUUCAUUUCCCCUUUCCUCAUAAUUUUUUCUAGCCAGUCUUUUUUCUUUCUUUCCCCUCUCUAAUCCAUCCACAACAUUAACACUGAAUUAAACUUCUCACAGCACUGAUCAAUCAUUAAAUCAGUACCCAACUCACGUGAACUGAGUGUUCAUCAUGUGAAUUCAUCACAAUUGAAAUAUUCAUUAUUUUUCUGAUAGGGGUUGCCGAGUUAGGACACCAGGUAGGCCUUACGAGCUACAGUCUUGUAGUGGAGGUUUUGGUCAUCACCUGCUGAAACAUCCUUCCAUCUAUCCACUGCUCAUUGCCCCACUCAAGGGAAGGCCAUUCUCCUAGCACGGUGCCCAAGCCCCUGCUCGGUACGGUCCUAACCAGCCUCCCCUCCAUGUUCCCUCGUGCUGGCCAAACUAAACAGCUCCUCAGUCUCUGAACUCUCGGUCUUCCAUGGCAUUUCUUGCUUGUCUCCUCUGCUUGGAAUGCCUUCUCCCCUUCUCUCUUGGCAACCGCGCCAUCUCGGUGAGGCCCCAUGCAGCCCCACUGAUGAAUGUGCUUUCCUUCUCCUUGCCCUUGUUCGUACGCUUCUUAGGGGAUUUCCAUGUUCCAGGAGGGUUUAUGGCUAUUUCUGUAUGUCCUGGUCCUCCUAACUAGACUGUGAUCUCCCCCAGGAAAAUGCAUUUUCCUCCAAACUCAGCAUGCCAUAUGAGGGCCUCAUACAUGCAGUUAGUCCGUGAUACAUUCGUCACAAACACAUAAAAUUUUUGUUGAGCUUAUUAAGCAAGAUCCUACAUCUGAAAGCAGCUGUUGUAAAAUGAACAACUACUUAUUAGCAACAGCACCAAAAACACCAACACAUUUUGUGUGGGCUGCUGAACAGUCAUGCCCCACGCCUUCUGUUCUUAGUGAAAGUCAAAUGCAGACACUUCCUGUCAUGCCUGCUAUGAGUGAUUCCUGAUCUUUACUGGGAACAGAAGGAUAUGUGAUUCUACAAAGGAGAGCGAAACAGCCAAGUAGAUCAUCUAUUUCUGAUUAGAAGUUUCUAGGAUAGCUUUCUUGUAGACAGGCUUUAUAUCACUCUGUGUCUUCAAAUGUCAAUGGCUUCAGAUUUCUGGGCUUUCCUGGGGGGUCUGCUGAGAUGGUAACCUGUUAUAUUUCCUGGAUUUUGGUUCAGGGUUGUUAGGCUGUGAGAAUCCCUUUGUUAAGCUUCUUUGAAUAAAAAUCUUGGUUGAAAGUUUGGUUUGAC